rnacentral:snRNA from 1 species
AAUGCUGCUGAUGAAACCAUCGUGUAAGGAAUGACCACAAAAGUUGAAUUCCAGUAGCUUCUUAUCAGUUUAAUAUCUGAUAUGUCCUCUAUCCAAAGACAAUAUAUUAAAUGGAUUUUUGGAGUAGAGAGAUGGAAUAGGAGCUUGCUCUGUACUCCACCUGGUAUUGUAGAACUUUUAGGAAUGGUGCACCACUU